UCAUCUGGGUGUUCCUGCUCCAUGGGGGGAUUGCACUGGGUGAGCUUUCCAGGGCCCUUCCAGUCCCUGACACUCUGGGAUGCUGUGACUCUUGAUCCCCUGCACCGUGCAGCCCACGCAGGCCUGGGCAGAGCCCGGCGACAAGCCCCUGCCCUGCACGGCCCACGCUCCCGAGCGGUUCUUGAUCCCCAUCGCCUUCCAGCAGACAAACCGCCCGGUUCCUGUCGUCUGCUCCCUGAACACGGAGUUCCAGCUCUGCAACAACGAGAAGGUGUUUCUGAUGGAUGCCACCUAACCCGGAAUGUCCCUGGCAGAAAUGGAUUACAAAGGGGCUUUUUCAAAGGGUGGGAGUUCCGUAUUGUUCCUUGUUACCGGUUCCCCUCGUACCCGACGUCUCUGUCUCCCCAGCAUCCUCGCCUGCGAGAGAGAGGGCUGAACCCAGCCUGGGCUUUGCCUCUUUUCCAGCCCUGGGAUAGCGUGACCAGGGACAGGAACGUGCUCUGCACGGCGUUCUGCCGCCUGCACACGCAAACCCAGCCCUGCAGAACCAGAACCGCGCGUGGCUCGCUGCAUUUGGCUCUCCCGAGGCUCCUCUUGUUCAUUCCGUUCUGUUGUUUUCUGGAGAAUUUAACCCGACCGUGUUUCUCCCGCCCUCCUCAGGGCAAAUCCUUUACGGCCGCGUGCUCUGGAACCCGGAACAGAACCUGAACGCCGCCUACGAGCUGCAGCUGGAAAAGGUCUAUCUGUGCACGGGCAAGGACGGGCACGUGCCUUUCUUCGACCCGACCGGCACCGUCUAUAACGAGGGGCCCCGGUACGGCUGCAUCCAGCCCAACAAGCACCUGAAGCACCGAUUCCUGCUCUUGGUAAGCGUUCCGCUGCCCACAGAAGCACCGUGUCGAGCGUUGCGUGCGCUCGUGGCCGCACAGGCCGGGUCUCUCGGGCUCCCGCUGCCCCAGCAGCCCUGGGAACUGAACGGCGUUCCUGCCGGCCCGGGAGAGCGUCGCCAGGCAGGACACGGGGCGCGGAGCACGGUGACAGCUGAGAACAGCCAGCGCAAGGGAGAAGGGGAGCCGGGGAUGUACCGAGCCCGUGCAAUCGCCCUUGAUCUGCCGGUGCCGUGGCUGGGAACGGACAGGGCUGGCAGCCCGUAAAGGGAGAUUUAUUUACCGGUGACGCAGGAGUUCUCCCUCCUUGUAUAAAUCACCGUGAGCCCGCGUCCCCGCCGCAGCCCCGUUCCCCCUCCCAGAACGAGGUGCCGUUCCCGGUAUCGGUCAGUUUGGCGUCAGCGCACCCGAGCGGGCUGGUCACACCCGUCUCUAGGGUCAGUUCUCCGGGCCUGACACACUCAGCGCUGAACCAGCGUGAGAUCGUGCGGGUCACAAGCCCCUCGUCCCGACGCUCUCUGGUGCCAGGACCGAACGCAGCCCGAGGUGACCGAUCAGUAUUUCCACGACGUGCCUUUCGACGCCCACUUCGCUUCCGACCUGGCCGAGUUCCGCUCCGUCAGCAGCGCGCCCGGAGGCGACGGCUUCACGCUCAGGGUGGACGCUCUCUACAAGGUCCGUGCCCAGGGGGUCGGGGGCCCCAAAACUCCCGUCUCUGCCCGGGACGUCCCGGGUUCACUGGGUGAAUGGCGGGCGCCGGGCCCGACGCCGCGCAGAGACACCGAAUCCGCGCUGGGGAGGCUCUGGCAGGAUUUUAUAUCCCGAUUUCCCCAGACGGGCCGUAUUUGUCCCCCAGUGGCCUGUGUCUGUUGUACCGUAAAUGAACAGCGGAGCCAGGUACCAAACAAACUCUAGCACGGGAAAGAGAGGUGAGGAAUUUAUUGUGGUGAUGAAGGCGGUUUGUUCUUUGAAAGCAGUCGGGAAAGGAGCUCCUUAGCACCAGUUUAUGAACGUUCCUGAGUUGAUUACUGCAGUUGCCAAAGACAGAUGAGAAGGCUGAACACCCCACUUGGUGAUGACCCCGAUUGCGGGGGCUCCCAAACCACCCCGAGCUGCUCUGUUGGUGUUUGCAGGAGCCAGUGAAGGGGCAGCGGCUGAACGGGGGAGUCAAAGCGCAGAACGCUCUGCAGGACCGGACGGAAGUUUAACGCAGCACCUGCUUUGUGUUGGUGAGAAACGCCUUUCAUGAAUUGUGAAAAAAAUAGACGACUUUAUAAAAAGGUAAGAAAAGUUGUGCUGUUGUUUUUAUGCUCUGGGGGAGGGCGGAGCGGCUCCGGCAGCGACCCCAGGGCUUUGGGAGCUCUCAGCAGCCCCGGGAAACCCCCGUUUAACACCCGGGACGCGGCGCUUGCUGCAGAAAAUGCGGCAGAAGCGUCCAGAAAGCCCAAGUGCAGCGCUGGGGCUGGGGGCUCGGGGCUGGGAGGUUCGUUUUGGGGCGGGGGCGGCAGCGCCAGUGGUUGUCCCAGGAGGGGGAGAGUGAAGCGGGAGCACGAACCGGGGCUGCCCGGGGGUCGCUCCCCUGUGAGUCCCCCGUGUGACAGUCCCGGCCCCGCUGUCCCUGCCCCGGCUGCGGUGCCGCCGAACGGACACGAGAUGGCGCUGCGCUCUGCAGGGCCGCGCGGUGUCCGCCAGGCGGCGCCAUCCCGGGCUGCGGCGGGGGCGGGACCGAGUGAGAGGGGUCGGGACCGAGUGAGAGGGGCGGAACCGAGAUCGGAGGGGGCGUGGCCAACCCGCUCGGCCGCGCCCCGAGCGCAGCUGAGCCCGCCGCGGGGACGCGGUGGCCGGUUCUGAUUGGGUCGGUGCUGGUGCCGCGUUUGUUCGGUGCGUUCCCCUGUGUGUCUGGUUGGUGUUGGUGCCUCGGUUGUUUCACGGCAGCGCAGCCGAGCCCGCAGCGAGGACGUGCUGGACACGGACGGGGCGUGAAGGAGCUGCAGGUGCCUGCGGGCAGGUCCCGGACAGAGGCAGCGGCGGGCAAGGGUUAAAACCUACAAUGGCCUCAAUAAAGGGGUGGUGGAAAGUGGCCGCAUGUCGCCGUGGUCCUUACGGGUCCCUCUCGUCCCCAGCCCGGGGCGGGGGGGUCAGGCCGAGCCGUGCCCUGAGCUCCCCCGGCCCAUCCCACACCAGCGACUGUUCCCAGACACCUUGCCCCCCCCUCCCCGAUGCGGGGACCCGGGUUCUCGCCGCCAGCUCCAGCUCCAGCCUGUGCAGCUUCAAGCCUGUUUGCGGUUCCAGCUCCUCUGCAGCUCCAGCUCGUUGUGCUUGUUCCACUGAGCUUGGCCUUGGGCCAGAUCGUAAAUCAAUCACUGUCACAAGCUGCCUAGGAAUAUGACACAUGAAUAAAUAUGAACCAAUUAUCUAAUAA